UACGUAGGGGGCAAGCGUUAUCCAGAUUUACUGGCGUAAAGCGUGCGCAGGCGGUUCGUUAUGUCCGAUGUGAAAGCCCCGAGCUUAACUUGGGAAUGGCAUUGGAAACUGGCGGGCUGGAGUGCGGCAGAGGGGGGGUGGAAUUCCACGUGUAGCAGUGGAAAUGCGUAGAGAUGUGGAGGAACACCGAUGGCGAAGGCAGCCCCCUGGGCCGACACGUGACGCUCAGGCACGAAAGCGUGGGGAGCAA
rnacentral:rRNA from 1 species